GUCGCGGCGCUGAUGGUGUAGGGGUUAAAGCGCGCGACCAUAUGGGGAGGCUGUGGUCCUCGGGGCGGCCGUCCCGGGUUUGAGUCCCGGACCUGGCGACA